rnacentral:rRNA from 1 species
GAUUUGGGCACUGUCUCAACGAGAGACUCGGUGAAAUUUUAGUACCUGUGAAGAUGCAGGUUACCCGCGACAGGACGGAAAGACCCCAUGGAGCUUUACUGCAGUUUGAUAUUGAGUGUCUGUACCAUAUGUACAGGAUAGGUAGGAGUCUAAGAGAUCGGGACGCCAGUUUCGAAGGAGACGCUGUUGGGAUACUACCCUUGUGUUAUGGCCACUCUAACCCAGAUAGGUGAUCCCUAUCGGAGACAGUGUCUG